UACAGAGGUCUCAAGCGUUGUUCGGAUUCAUUGGGCGUAAAGGGUGCGUAGGUGGCGUCGUAAGUCGGGUGUGAAAUUUCGGAGCUUAACUCCGAAACUGCAUUCGAUACUGCAGUGCUUGAGGACUGGAGAGGAGACUGGAAUUUACGGUGUAGCAGUGAAAUGCGUAGAGAUCGUAAGGAAGACCAGUGGCGAAGGCGGGUCUCUGGACAGUUCCUGACGCUGAGGCACGAAGGUCAGGGGGAGCAAAACGGGG
rnacentral:rRNA from 1 species